UAGGGAAUCUUCCGCAAUGGGCGAAAGCCUGACGGAGCAACGCCGCGUGAGUGAUGAAGGUCUUCGGAUCGUAAAACUCUGUUAUUAGGGAAGAACAAAUGUGUAAGUAACUAUGCACGUCUUGACGGUACCUAAUCAGAAAGCCACGGCUAACUACGUGCCAGCAGCCGCGGUAAUACGUAGGUGGCAAGCGUUAUCCGGAAUUAUUGGGCGUAAAGCGCGCGUAGGCGGUUUUUUAAGUCUGAUGUGAAAGCCCACGGCUCAACCGUGGAGGGUCAUUGGAAACUGGAAAACUUGAGUGCAGAAGAGGAAAGUGGAAUUCCAUGUGUAGCGGUGAAAUGCGCAGAGAUAUGUAGGAACACCAGUGGCGAAGGCGACUUUCUGGUCUGUAACUGACGCUGAUGUGCGAAAGCGUGGGGAUCAAACAGG
rnacentral:rRNA from 1 species